UACGGGGGGGGCAAGCGUUGUUCGGAAUUACUGGGCGGAAAGGGCUCGUAGGCGGCCAACUAAGUCAGACGUGAAAUCCCUCGGCUUAACCGGGGAACUGCGUCUGAUACUGGAUGGCUAGAGGUUGGGAGAGGGAUGCGGAAUUCCAGGUGUAGCGGUGAAAUGCGUAGAUAUCGGAAGGAACAUCAGUGGCGAAAGCGACUUCCUGGACCAGUACCGACGUUCAGGCACGAAAGCGUGGGGAGCAAACAGG
rnacentral:rRNA from 1 species